CAAAUACAACCUACUGUGAUCAUUCAGUCACCAAGUCCCCAAAUACAAACUAAUGUGAUAAUUCAGUCACCAAGUCCCCAAAUACAAACUUCUGUGAUCAUUCUGUCAACAAGUCCCAAAUACAAACUUCUGUGAUCAUUCAGUCAACAAGUCCCAAAUACAAACUACUGUGAUCAUUCAGUCACCAAGUCCCCAAAUACAAACUUCUGUGAUCAUUCAGUCAACAAGUCCCCAAAUACAAACUACUGUGAUCAUUCAGUCACCAAGUCCCCAAAUACAAACUACUGUGAUCAUUCAGUCACCAAGUCCCCAAUACAAACUUCUGUGAUCAUUCUGUCAACAAGUCCCCAAAUACAAACUACUGUGAUCAUUCAGUCACCAA
rnacentral:lncRNA from 1 species